UACCUGGUUGAUCCUGCCAGUUGGCAUAUGCUCGUCUCUAAGAUUAAGCCAUGCAUGUCUGAGUUCAUACCUAGUUAACGUGAGACUGCGAAAGGCUCAGUACAUCAGUUAUAGUUUAUUCGAUUGUGAAAUCCACAUGGAUAACCGUGGAAAAUCUAGAGCUAAUACAUGCGAAACAAGCGCUUGGUGGGCAACCAUCAAGUGCGAUGCAUUUAUUAGAUUAAGCCAGUCGAUUGUGUAGUAGGCAACUAUUAUACAGUUGUUGUGGUGAGUCUGGAUAACUGUGCCGAUCGUAUGGCCUUGAGCCGGCGACAUUUCGAUUAAAUUUCUGCCCUAUCAACUUGUUGGUAAGGUAGUGGCUUACCAAGGUGAUAACGGGUAACGGGGAAUCAGGGUUCGAUUCCGGAGAGGGAGCCUGAGAAAUGGCUACCACAUCCAAGGAAGGCAGCAGGCGCGCAAAUUACCCAAUCCAGACACUGGGAGGUGGUGACGAGAAAUACCAGGUCGUUCCCACAAGGAUUCGACACUGGAAUGAGUGCAAUUUAAAAAUUUCAACGAGUAACAACUGGAGGGCAAGUCUGGUGCCAGCAGCCGCGGUAAUUCCAGCUCCAGUAGUGUAUCCAAACGUUGCUGCGGUUAAAACGCUCGUAGUUGGACAAGAGAGUAACUUGGUGCAGGCGGGAUUUGUAAUUACUCUAUGCGUGUAUCCUUCACGAAGAUCUGAUGUUGAUUGAAAAUGAUGCAUUAGUUGCCGAGUGUUGAUAUCGUAUAGUUGGAGCAUUUGUCGACCAUGCUGCCAGGUUCCUCGUAAUGUUUCGUGAGAAUGAUGUGUGGUCUUUAAUGUACUGUGCAUCGUAUCUUACGUAGUGUGCCUUGAAUAAAUCAGAGUGCUCAAAGCAAGCAAACGCUUGAACGUUAAUAGCAUGGAACGAAUGUUUUGUGUAUGUGUGCUAACCAAGUUUAACGAUGGAAGUUAGUGCAUAGCACCAACCGCGAAGCGGAUCAUUGGUUGCCGUCUUCGGGUGAGGAUUAAGAGGGGCAUUUGGGGGCAUUAGUAUUUGGCCGCGAGAGGUGAAAUUCUUAGACCGGCCAAGGACUAACAAGUGCGAAAGCAUUUGCCAAGUAUGUUCCCUUUAAUCAAGAACGAAAGUGAGAGGUUCGAAGACGAUCAGAUACCGUCCUAGUUCUCACCGUAAACGAUGCCAACCCGGGAUCAGUUCGGAUGUAAUUAUUUGGAUCCAGGUUGGUCCCCCCGCGAAACCUUGAGUUUUUAGGUUCCGGGGGGAGUAUGGUUGCAAGGCUGAAACUUAAAGGAAUUGACGGAAGGGCACCACCAGGGGUGGAGCCUGCGGCUUAAUUUGACUCAACACGGGAAAACUCACCUGGUCCGGACAUCGAUAGGAUUGACAGACUAAUAGAUCUUUCAUGAUACGGUGGGUGGUGGUGCAUGGCCGUUCUUAGUUCGUGGAGCGAUCUGUCAGGUUUAUUCCGGUAACGAACGAGACCACGUUCUUCAUUUAGGAAGCUAGAGUACAGGUGUCUUCGGUCGUAUUAUCGAGAGUAAGUUGAGGGCAACCGAUGCUUGCUUAAGGGAAUAUGCUUGGUGGCACUUGAAACUCUUGUGCGCGCUCAGCAAUGAGUGCCCUAUGGAGAGACAGCCGGAGUAAAGCCGGAGGAAGCGUGGCAAUAACAGGUCUGUGAUGCCCUUCGAUGUUCAGGGCCGCACGCGCGCUACAAUGAUAACGACAGCGAGAGUCUUGACUGAAAAGUUCUGGGUAAUCUUGUGAAUCGUUAUCGUGAUGGGGAUUGAGCAUUGUAAUUAUUGCUCAUGAAAUAGGAAUCCCUUGUAUACGUGUCUCACUUAGGACACGUAGAAUGCGUCUCUGCCCUUUGUACACACCGCCCGUCGCUACUACCGAGUGAAUGGUGUCAUGAUGUCUUGGGACUGGAUAUUGUUGGCAGUGAAAACUGCGGACGAUGCUAGGAGCAAGACAAAAUGGCGCAAUUUCGAGGAAGUAAAAGUCGUAACAAGGUUUCCGUAGGUGAACCUGCGGAAG
rnacentral:rRNA from 1 species